GUAUUGGCUUUGUGGGAGUUUUAGGCAUUUUAGUGCAACGGCCUUCUUGGAUCCCUGCCUUUUUCUAGUUCCUGGACAAAUCGAGGGACUGGCCCUUGGUGAUAGCGGAAAUCAAAGGAUUCCUUUGGUGGACAAUUUGGAGUUUGACUACUGGCUACCGUUGCGUCAAAGUACAAGACCGACCAAUGAAUUUUAAAUCCAUUUCGUGUAUUUCCCACCAUCUUCAG
rnacentral:misc_RNA from 1 species